rnacentral:rRNA from 1 species
AUGGUGGCAGUUACAAGCUGGUUUUUGUGGUGGCAGAGGAGACAAUUGGUGCGUGAGGAAGAAGUCCAACCACCAACGCGUUCAUGUCAACCGAUCAGGGCUCUCGCCCUGAAUUUUGCACGCGCGGCAAACAAACCAUCUACAACAGCUAGACUAAAUUGUUGGAAGAGGCCCCUGGCGGGUCAGCUAGCUCUGAAUGUUGACGCCGCCUUCUUGGCUGACGACAACACUGGCGCAUGUGGAUCAAUUAUAAGGGACAGUAGCGGACAGUUCAUAGCAGCGGCCACGGCAAGGCUGGAGUACGUAACGGAUGUGGAGUCAGCUGAAGCGGUUGCGUUAGCCAAAGGCUUGAAGCUAGCUAUUUCGGUCGGCUGCAACUCACUCUUGGUUCAAAUGGUAAAUCUUAUUGUCAUGGAAUCUAUCCAACAGAAUUCUGGUCAUUCUAUGGUAGCAGCCCCAAUUCUUGAUGAAUGUAGAUCACUAAUUCUUGAUUUUGGGAAGGUCUCGUUAGAGCAUUUUAAUCAUGAAUCAAAUAUGGUAGCUCAUGCGCUAGCUCUUUUUGGUCGUGAUGAUCCACCGAAUGUGUGGUUGGACUCACCUCCGGUCUUUAUCUCUGAACUUUUAGCAGACGAUGUAAGCGUUGUUUAA